CCUGCAUCUCCCAUCGUGCCACGCGCACAGAAGGUGGAAAGCGGAGGGUGGCGCGGGGCAUGCUGGGCGCUGUAGGUAGAGAACGGCUCCUAGGCGCCUAACAGACUGCGGCUCCCAUCGUUCCUUGCGCGGGACCCCGGGGCCGGGGCGGAGAGGGCAGCGCUGCGGCAGCGGCGAUCGAGGCGGGCGGACUCGAAGCUGAGGAGCCGCUGAGCCUCCCUCCCCAUUGUGUGGAGCCCUAGAGCGGCAGCGGCUCCCCGGUGCCGGCCGCCAUCUUGUGCUGGUGGGAGCCCAGUGAGGCACCCUGAGCCCAGGCCACGAAGGUGGAGUGCGAGUGGGGCCGCCCCUCUCCUCCCAACUGCCUGGGCCCUCUUCCCUCGCCUCAAGGCCCUGCCGCGGCAGAGUAACCUCUGAAUGUAAGGAGGACCCGCCUCGAGAGAGCGGCUUCCCAUCCGCCGCUCCCCCCUGCCACAGGCCUGCCGCCGCACCCGUCUAGAGCCAGCUACACCCCGAUCUGUAGGUGCUGCUAGCAGGAGCACACUCCUCUUCCCCCAAACCCCCUUCACCCAUAGCCUACGUAGGUCCUGCCACCGGAACAGGAGCAGCCCCACAGAGAGGGAAGCCGUGUCCACCCCAGCAGGACGUGCACUGUCCUAGAACUGAUGCCACCAUCCCCUAGAGGAGGCGGGCCCUCCUAACGGAGCCCUGCCCGGACCCCAAGGGCCAGGUCCUUGCCUCUACUCCACCCAGCCUGGAGAGACACUCCUUACCAGCCUAACCUAGGGAGGAGACAUUUUUUCUUGCCCCCAAGCUCGUGCCUCUUCCCCUGAACUAGACAAACAGAUCAGGUGCUGCUGCUAUCCCAGACCUUGAGGAGACGCCCACUGACUCUGAACUGCUGCUCUCUACCACCCACGAGCCCAACGCCCCAGAUCAGGAGAUAGAGACUCAGCCCUGACAAGCUGCUGACACUUCCCGCCCCAUCAGGAGACAGAGAGAAAGAGACCCAUCCAGAGGUGCUGCUCCUGCUCCUCGCACCACCGAUAUCAGGAGAGACAGCUACACAGAGCUACUACAACUGCAAAGACAUGAAGAUCAAGGAUGCCAAGAAACCAUCAUUGGGAGAUGGCAACCGUCAUGGAAGAGGUGAAUUCUUUGUGGAAAUUGUUGCAGAAGAAAUAUUGUCCAUCUGCCUCAGCUGAAGAAGAAACUUUCAGCAAUGGAG
rnacentral:lncRNA from 1 species